CCUACGGGAGGCAGCAGUGAGGAAUAUUGGUCAAUGGACGAAAGUCUGAACCAGCCAUGCCGCGUGCAGGAAGAAGGCUCUCUGAGUUGUAAACUGCUUUUGUACGAGGGUAAACGCAGAUACGCGUAUCUGUCUGACAGGCUCGUACGAUUACAGAACGGAUAACUCCGUGCCAGCAGCCGCGGUAAUACGGAGGAUUCAAGCGUUAUCCGGAUUUAUUGGGUUUAAAGGGUGCGUAGGCGGUCGGAUAAGUUAGAGGUGAAAUCCCGAGGCUCAACUUCGGAAUUGCCUGUGAUACUGUUCGGCUAGAGAGUAGGUGCGGUAGGCGGAAUGUAUGGUGUAGCGGUGAAAUGCGUAGAGAUCAUACAGAACACCGAUUGCGAAGGCAGCUUACCAGGCUACUUCUGACGUUGAGGCACGAAAGCGUGGGGAGCAAACAGGAUUAGAUACCCCUGUAGUC
rnacentral:rRNA from 1 species